rnacentral:rRNA from 1 species
GACGAACGCUGGCGGCGUGCUUAACACAUGCAAGUCGAACGGUAAGGCUCCAGCUUGCUGGGGUACACGAGUGGCGAACGGGUGAGUAACACGUGGGUGACCUGCCCUGCACUUCGGGAUAAGCCUGGGAAACUGGGUCUAAUACCGGAUAGGACCGCACCGUGAGGGUGUGGUGGAAAGUUUUUUCGGUGUGGGAUGGGCCCGCGGCCUAUCAGCUUGUUGGUGGGGUAAUGGCCUACCAAGGCGGCGACGGGUAGCCGGCCUGAGAGGGUGGACGGCCACAUUGGGACUGAGAGACGGCCCAGACUCCUACGGGAGGCAGCAGGGGGGAAUAUUGCACAAUGGGCGGAAGCCUGAUGCAGCGACGCCGCGUGGGGGAUGACGGCCUUCGGGUUGUAAACUCCUUUCACCAUCGACGAAGGGUUUCUGACGGUAGAUGGAGAAGAAGCACCGGCUAACUACGUG